GAUGAAGAACGCAGCGAAAUGCGAUAAGUAAUGUGAAUUGCAGAAUUCAGUGAAUCAUCGAAUCUUUGAACGCACCUUGCACCCUUUGGCAUUCCGAAGGGUAUGCUCGUUUGAGUGUCAUUGUACUCUCACACUCUCCGAUCCUAUGGAUUCGGGGAGCGGUGGACUUGGGUGUUGCUGCCUUUCCUUGUGGCUCACCUCAAAUGUGUCAGUGCACCUCUUGGUUGGACAUAGUACGGCGUGAUAAGUGUCUUCGCCGGCGCCUCUGUAAGGAGGGUGGCCGAUCGGGAGCUCUGUGCUUCAAACCGUCUUCGGACAAUCUUUGACAACUUGACCUCAAAUCGAGUAGGACUACCCGCUGAACUUAAGCAUAUCAAUAAGCGGAGGA
rnacentral:misc_RNA from 1 species